GAUGAACGCUGGCGGCGUGCCUAAUACAUGCAAGUCGAGCGAACAGACGAGGAUCUUGCGCCUCUGACGUUAGCGGCGGAGGGGUGAGUAACACGUGGAUACCCUACCUAUAUGACGGGGAUAACUUCGGGAAACCGGAGCUAAUACCGGAGAACAUGUGGAACCGGAUGGUUCAAGAGUGAAAUACGGGCUUGCGGUUACUUAUGCAUGGAUCCGGGCCGCUUUGGCUGGUGGGUCAGAUAACGGCUUACCAAGGCAACUAUUCGUAGCCGACCGCAGUGGGUGGUAGGCCACCCUGGAACUGGGACACCCUCCAGACUCCUACGGGACGCCCCAGUCGGGUACCUUACGCAAUAGGCGAGAGCCUGACGGAGUGGCGCCGAGUGAGUGAUGAAGGUCCUCGGAUCGUAAAGAUCUGUUAUUAGUGAUAAACAAAUGCGUAAGUAGCUAUACACGUCUUGACGGUACCUGGUAAGAAAGCCCCGGCUAACUACGUG
rnacentral:rRNA from 1 species